GCAUCGAUGGUUCAGUGGUAGAAUGCUCGCUUACCACGUGGGCCGCCCGGGUUCGAUUCCCGGUCGAUGCA
rfam:Daphnia pulex DAPPTscaffold_1656_Cont13283, whole genome shotgun sequence.